CAUCGCGACUUACCAAACCAUUGCAAACUCCGAAUACCAGUACGUACUAUCCGGGAGACACACGGCGGGUGCUAACGUCCGUCGUGAAAAGGGAAACAACCCAGACCCACAGCUAAGGUCCCAAAUUCACUGCUAAGUGGAAAACGAUGUGGAAAGGCACAGACAGCCAGGAGGUUGGCUUAGAAGCAGCCACCCUUUAAAGAAAGCGUAAUAGCUCACUGGUCGAGUCGGUCUGCGCGGAAGAUUUAACGGGGCUAAGCAGUGAACCGAAGCUUGGGGUGCAUCGCGAUAAGCGAUGCGCGGUAGAGGAGCGUUCCGUAAGCCGUUGAAGGUGGAUUGAGAAGUCUGCUGGAGGUAUCGGAAGUGCGAAUGCUGACAUGAGUAACGAUAAUGCGGGUGAAAAACCCGCACGCCGAAAGCCCAAGGUUUCCUUGCGCAACGUUAAUCGGCGCAGGGUGAGUCGGCCCCUAAGGCGAGGGCGAAAGCCGUAGUCGAUGGGAAGCAGGUUAAUAUUCCUGCACCUCGCGUAAGUGCGAUGGAGGGACGGAGAAGGUUAGGUGUACCGGGCGUUGGUUGUCCCGGGGAAAGGCGGUAGGUUUGGAUCUUUGGCAAAUCCGGGAUCCUUUAAGACCGAGCACCGAGACGAGUCUUUUAGACGAAGUCACUGAUACCACGCUUCCAGGAAAAGCUCCUAAGCUUCAGCUUACGCAGACCGUACCGUAAACCGACACAGGUGGGUAGGAUGAGAAUUCUCAGGCGCUUGAGAGAACUCGGGUGAAGGAACUAGGCAACAUGGCACCGUAACUUCGGGAGAAGGUGCACCCUUUUUGGUGGCUCAUGCGAGCUAUAGCUGAAGAGGGUCGCAGAAACCAGGCCGCUGCGACUGUUUAUCAAAAACACAGCACUCUGCAAACACGAAAGUGGACGUAUAGGGUGUGACGCCUGCCCGGUGCUGGAAGGUUAAUUGAUGGGGUCAGCCGCAAGGUGAAGCUCUUGAUCGAAGCCCCAGUAAACGGCGGCCGUAACUAUAACGGUCCUAAGGUAGCGAAAUUCCUUGUCGGGUAAGUUCCGACCUGCACGAAUGGCGUAACGACAGCGGCGCUGUCUCCACCCGAGACUCAGUGAAAUUGAAAUCGCUGUGAAGAUGCAGCGUUCCCGUGGCAAGACGGAAAGACCCCGUGAACCUUUACUAUAGCUUUACACUGAACGUUGAGUUCGUCUGUGUAGGAUAGGUGGGAGGCUAUGAAACCAUGGCGCUAGCUGUGGUGGAGCCAACCUUGAAAUACCACCCUGUCGUGCUUGACGUUCUAACCUAGGUCCGUGAUCCGGAUCGGGGACCGUGUAUGGUGGGUAGUUUGACUGGGGCGGUCUCCUCCUAAAGAGUAACGGAGGAGCACGAAGGUACGCUCAGCGCGGUCGGACAUCGCGCACUGUGUGCAAAGGCAUAAGCGUGCUUGACUGCAAGAUCGACGGAUCAAGCAGGUACGAAAGUAGGUCUUAGUGAUCCGGUGGUUCUGUAUGGAAGGGCCAUCGCUCAACGGAUAAAAGGUACUCCGGGGAUAACAGGCUGAUACCGCCCAAGAGUUCAUAUCGACGGCGGUGUUUGGCACCUCGAUGUCGGCUCAUCACAUCCUGGGGCUGUAGUCGGUCCCAAGGGUAUGGCUGUUCGCCAUUUAAAGUGGUACGCGAGCUGGGUUCAGAACGUCGUGAGACAGUUCGGUCCCUAUCUGCCAUGGGCGUUGGAAGUUUGAGAGGGGCUGCUCCUAGUACGAGAGGACCGGAGUGGACGAACCUCUGGUGUUCCGGUUGUCACGCCAGUGGCAUUGCCGGGUAGCUAUGUUCGGAAGCGAUAACCGCUGAAAGCAUCUAAGCGGGAAGCGCGCCUCAAGAUGAGACUUCCCGGGGCACAAGCCCCCUUAAGGAACCAUGUAGACUACGUGGUUGAUAGGUCAGGUGUGUAAGUGCAGCAAUGCAUUGAGCUAACUGAUACUAAUGAUCCGUGCGGCUUGACCAUAUAACCUCAAGG
rnacentral:rRNA from 1 species